UGUAGCAUGUUUCAUUAAACUAAUAACAGUCCCUUCAAUGAAACAAUGUGUUGUAAAACCUUUCCCAAUUUUUCUUUUGAGGCAUGGUGGUUAAGGGCUACAUAAGUAUUAACAUGUCUAAGUUCUUUUAAUUGCUGGGUUUAUAAAUCUGAACAGCUGUAAUGAAAUAAUCAGAAACAACCAGAUGGAAUUGGAGCCAGUCACCAUGGGUAUUUGAGAAGUGCAUACUGUUUGGGGAGACUGAAUAUGUACUGAUCCAAUCUAAAAUGGAGCAGAUGGCAAAGCAAACAGACAGUGUCUGGCUCUUUCACCCAGGCUGAAGUGCAGUGAUACCAUCACAGCUCACUGCAGCCUUGACCUCCUGAGCUCAAGUGGUCCUCCUGCCUCAGCCUCUU
rnacentral:lncRNA from 1 species